CAUGCGGAUGCCUACCAUGCAAGUCGAACGUGAUCCGCCAGUUCUGGUUGGUGAGAUCGUUGCACGGGUGACUAACGCGUGAAUAAUCUGCCCGAGGACUGCCCAAUGGUCUCGAUAGGGGUGCUAAUACUGGAAAUGCCGCCUUGGUCUACGGAUCUUGCGGUGAAAGGGGGGGACCUUCCUCCCUCCUGUCCUUGGAUGAGUCUGCGUACCAUUAGCUAGUUGGUGGGGUAAUGGCCUACCAAGGCGACGAUGGUUAGCUGGUCUGAGGGCAUGAUCAGCCACACUGGAACUGACACACGGUCCACACUCCUAGGGAGGCAGCUGUGGGGAAUUUUGCGCUGUGGGAAAAACCCUGACACCACUACCCCGCGUGGGAAAUGAGGUUCUUCAGCUCGUAGCUCUGUGUCUGGAGAAAAAAAAUGAUUGGGACCUAAAACAUCUUGAUCUUGACGGUACCUCUGAAGGAAGCACCGGCUAACUCCGUGCCAGCGUUGUCGGGAUUACUGGGGUGCAGGGGUUGUUCGGAAUUAUUGGGCUUAAAUGUCGUGGGGACCGGCUUUUCCGUCUGAUUGGAUUUCCCCCUGAUCAACCUGAGUAUUGCAUUGGAAACUGGAAGGCUUGAUGUACGGGGUGAAGAGAGUGGAUUCCUAGAUGUAGGAGUGAAAUCCAUAGAUACUAGGAGGAACACCACUGACCCAGAGCGUGCUCUCUCGAGCGAUAGCUGACACUAAUACACACACUCGUGGUCAGCACACAAGACUAUGAUACGCUGGUAGUCCACGACACUACACGAUGACUACUACGUGAUGCGCACAUC
rnacentral:rRNA from 1 species